rnacentral:rRNA from 1 species
UAAUACGGAGGGUGCAAGCGUUAAUCGGAAUUACUAGGCGUAAAGCGCGCGUAGGCGGCUUGUAAAGUUGGAUGUGAAAGCCCUAGGCUCAACCUGGGAACUGCAUUCAAAACUGGCAGGCUAGAGUACAGUAGAGGUGAGUGGAAUUUCCAGUGUAGCGGUGAAAUGCGUAGAUAUUGGAAGGAACAUCAGUGGCGAAGGCGACUCACUGGGCUGAUACUGACGCUGAGGUGCGAAAGCGUGGGGAGCAAACGGGAUUAGAUACCCCGGUAGUCCACGCUGUAAACGAUGAGAACUAGCUGUUGGGGUGGGAAGACACCUAAGUAGCGAAGCUAACGCAUUAAGUUCUCCGCCUGGGGAGUACGGUCGCAAGAUUA